UAUUAUACAAAUAUGUAUACAUUCUUUUUCUCACAUUAUCCUCCAUCAUAUUCCAUCUCAGGUGAGUAUGUGUAGUUCCCCGUGCUCUACAGCAGGACCUCAUUGCUUAUCCAUCCUCUUCCCUUCCUUAAAUUGGCUGUCCCCUGAGAACACCAGUCCCCCCCCCACACACCCAUCUUUCCUCCUGUCCCUUACCUUACUGUGCGCUUGGAGGUGAGGCUGGUGUUUUCCUAGCAGGGGCUUUGAUGCUGCUUCUAAAGGGUUAGUUAACCUUCAGCCUCUUGGGAAAGACUUUGGCACCCCAUUAAUCUCCACCACUCCCUCCCCCCCAUUUUUAAAGGCAGCAGGCAGCUCUCCUUAUCAUAUAAUCCAAACGGGACCAACUAAGGGUCUUGGACAAUGGUGGGAGGAUGAGGGAAGGAUGAAGUCAGUGACGACUGAUGAGUGCUCUCUUUGCCUGGCUCGGGUCAUGCAGCUGUUUCUCCCUCCCCAGGUAGAGCCACCAGAGCAUCUGCAUGCUGAGAAAACCUCAGAAAGAGAUGAUCUCCCAGCCAACCAAUCAAAGACAAUGAAAGCAAGAUGUGGAACCAAGGAAUGCCACAUGCUCAAGGCGCCAUCCAUGGAUGAGCCUGCAUGCACGUGGGUGAAACAGAGGUCUCAUCUUGUGUAUCACCUCUGAUAGCUUGGGCAUCACCUACAAGUCCACUGGGACUUCCUGUUAGGAGGCUUGAACCUGGGACCUCUCGAUCCUGCAUCACCGGGGCUUCUCCAACGAGCAACCUGCAGGACAAUGAGGGAAGGAUGCAGGUGUGGGGCUUCCUCGCCCCCACCCAGACCAUAUCACCUCUGCCCCCAAGCCUCCUCUGACCACAGCACACAGGCUCAGCCUCUAUUUUUUCCACAAGCCCCUGUUCAGACAGUUCUCCUAUCCACACAGCUAAAGCACACCAAGUGAGACCUUCCAGGGAAUUUAGGGUCAGCCUUGGGAAAGUAUUUUUAUUUAAGUUGUCUCAGGGGAGGUGUGAGGGGGAUGCAUGACUGGAUGAAUUUUCACAAACUGGACACACCCGGGAAGCCAGCACCAGCUAAAGAAACGCAACACUCUGAGCCCCCACUUA